rnacentral:ncRNA from 2 species
AUAAAAUCUACUCUCCGAGCCGAUUAAUCUAAAGAGAAAAAUCCAUGGUUCAUCGGCCAGGGCUUUAACGCCCUCAGGGUAUGUCUAGAAAUGGAUAUGCCUUCACUUUGAAAAGGAGGUGGUCGCAUUUAAUU